GCUUACACAUGCAAGUCGCACGAGAACUCUUCUGCUUGCAGAAGAUAGUAAAGUGGCGCACGGGUGAGUAACGCGUGGGUAAUCUGCCUCUGAAUCGGGGAUAACCCGCCGAAAGGCGAGCUAAUACCGGAUAAUAUCUUUAAAACUUAGGUUUUUAAGAUUAAAGGUGGUCUCUACAUGUAAGCUACUGUUUGGAGAUGAGCCCGCGUACCAUUAGCUUGUUGGUAGGGUAAUGGCCUACCAAGGCCGCGAUGGUUAGCUGGUCUGAGAGGAUGAUCAGCCACACUGGAACUGACACACGGUCCAGACUCCUACGGGAGGCAGCAGUGAGGAAUUUUGCGCAAUGGGGGAAACCCUGACGCAGCAACGCCGCGUGAGUGAUGAAGGCUUUCGGGUCGUAAAGCUCUGUCAAGUGGGAAGAACCUGCUCGAUGAUAAUACCAUCUAGCACUGACGGUACCACUAAAGGAAGCACCGGCUAACUCCGUGCCAGCAGCCGCGGUAAUACGGGGGGUGCAAGCGUUAUUCGGAAUUAUUGGGCGUAAAGGGCGCGUAGGCGGUCUCUAAAGUCAGAUGUGAAAGCCCGGGGCUUAACCCCGGAAGUGCAUUUGAAACUCAGGGACUUGAGUAUGGGAGAGGGAAGUGGAAUUCCUGGUGUAGCGGUGAAAUGCGUAGAUAUCAGGAGGAACACCAGUGGCGAAGGCGACUUCCUGGACCAAUACUGACGCUGAGGCGCGAAGGCGUGGGGAGCAAACAGGAUUAGAUACCCUGGUAGUCCACGCAGUAAACGGUGAACACUAGGUGUAGCGGGUAUUGACCCCUGCUGUGCCGCAGCUAACGCAUUAAGUGUUCCGCCUGGGGAGUACGAUCGCAAGAUUAAACUCAAAGGAAUUGACGGGGGCCCGCACAAGCGGUGGAGCAUGUGGUUUAAUUCGACGCAACGCGAAGAACCUUACCUGGGUUUGA
rnacentral:rRNA from 1 species